UGGGGAAUUUUGGACAAUGGGCGAAAGCCUGAUCCAGCCAUGCCGCGUGAGUGAAGAAGGCCGUCGGGUUGUAAAGCUCUUUUAGUCGGAAAGAAAGAGUUGCAAUGAAUAAUUGUGAUUUAUGACGGUACCGACAGAAAAAGCACCGGCUAACUACGUGCCAGCAGCCGCGGUAAUACGUAGGGUGCGAGCGUUAAUCGGAAUUACUGGGCGUAAAGGGUGCGCAGGCGGUCUUGCAAGUCAGAUGUGAAAGCCCCGGGCUUAACCUGGGAAUUGCGUUUGAAACUACAAGGCUAGAGUGCAGCAGAGGGGAGUGGAAUUCCAUGUGUAGCAGUGAAAUGCGUAGAGAUGUGGAAGAACACCGAUGGCGAAGGCAGCUCCCUGGGUUGACACUGACGCUCACGCACGAAAGCGUGGGGAGCAAACA
rnacentral:rRNA from 1 species